rnacentral:rRNA from 1 species
GACGAACGCUGGCGGCGUGCUUAACACAUGCAAGUCGAACGGAAAGGUCCGGCCUUUGUGGGGUGCUCGAGUGGCGAACGGGUGAGUAACACGUGAGUAACCUGUCCUUGACUUUGGGAUAUCUUCAGGAAACUGGGGCUAAUACCGGCUAGGAGCUCCUGCUGCAUGGUGGGGGUUGGAAAGUUUCGGCGGUUGGGGAUGGACUCGCGGCUUAUCAGCUUGUUGGUGGGGUAGUGGCUUACCAAGGCUUGGACGGGUAGCCGGGCUGCGAGGAUGACCGGACACGUUGGGACUGGGAUGCGGCCCAGACUCCUACGGGAGGCAGCGGUGGGGUAGAGUAUACAAUGGGAGGGGCCCUGAUGCAGCAACGCCGCGUGGGGGAUGACGGCCAUCGGGUUGUAUUGCGCAGUCGCCUGUGACGAGGCGAUAGUGACAGUAAUGGGUAAAGAAGCACCGGCUAACUACGUG